AACAGCUCCUGUUCCCAACUGGAAACUCUUCAAGACUUCCAGUUCCAGAAUUGGAAUAUUAUAUUGCUUUAAGCUUUAUAGGGUACCUGGCAUGGUGCUGGAAAGUGAGGAGUCACUGAUAAGAAAGGUACUGAGGGCAAAGCAAUGAAAAGACAGACAAUUCCUUGACCUCAUGAAGCUUCCACUGCCCUGGGAGAAGACUCAAAAUUAGUAAAUGAAUGAAUGAAUAAAUAUAAAAUAAUUACAGAGCGAUAACUACUAUAAAAGAAUA